rnacentral:lncRNA from 1 species
AGAUGAAAGGAUUUGACCAAAGUCAUAAAGCAAGUUAGCUUUGGAGAUAGUAUUCUGUACCAGUCCAAGAUCUCAGGACCAGAUCUCAAAGACCUGGAAAGAAGGGGAGCAUCUCAGUUACGUGUGGCGGACAAAAAAAAGGAGCAGAUUGUGACAGACCAUUCCCAUCGGCCAAGUGGUCGAACCCGACAUCCAAGACCCAGCGAGCAGCCAAGCUCAG